GAUCGAUAAUAGACGGCUACUUGCUAAAUUUUUAGCUAAGAGGAAAGUCCGGACAUCGUUACAUGGCAGUGGGUAACACCCACCGUUGGCUGGCUAUUGUUUUAAGCAAAAGUCGGCCGAUAGGGAAAGUGCCACAGAGACAAUACUAUUCAGGCUAUUCGAAAAGAAUUUUUCUAAUAGCUUUCUGUUUUUCCAUUAAGGAGGAAGCUUCAUUUUAUGUUUCCUUUCGGAGCGGCCCCGCUACGCCAGCAAAGCGUGGCGAGGAGGACAGGAAGGUUCGCUAAGGGAAAUUGUUUUCGGAUAGCCUGGAAAAAGGUGAAAAGAGAAUAGGUGUCUUUUAGGCUACUAUUCUGAAAUAUAGGCGACUAUAUUUUCUGGUAAACCCUGCCUGAUGCAAGACCGCGUCCGUUUAAUCCUUUAAGUUAAUUAAGCCAAAAGGUUUUUUUUAACUUAAAAAUUAAACGGAAGAGUCGCUGGAGUUAAAUGGCAACAUUUAACCAAGAUAGAUGGCCGUCCAAAUCGGAUAAAACUGGAGAUUCCCGCAAUUGGGGAUUUUAUAGGUUUAGCGGUUUGACAGAAUCCGGCUUAUCGUUAUCGAUCGCCA
rnacentral:RNase_P_RNA from 1 species